AACGAACGCUGGCGGCAUGCCUAACACAUGCAAGUCGAACGAUGCCUUCGGGCAUAGUGGCGCACGGGUGCGUAACGCGUGGGAAUCUGCCUUUCGGUUCGGAAUAACUCAGGGAAACUUGAGCUAAUACCGGAUAACGUCGCAAGACCAAAGAUUUAUCACCGAAAGAUGAGCCCGCGUAGGAUUAGCUAGUUGGUGAGGUAAAGGCUCACCAAGGCGACGAUCCUUAGCUGGUCUGAGAGGAUGAUCAGCCACACUGGGACUGAGACACGGCCCAGACUCCUACGGGAGGCAGCAGUGGGGAAUAUUGGACAAGGGGCGAAAGCCUGAUCCAGCAAUGCCGCGUGAGUGAUGAAGGCCUGAGGGUUGUAAAGCUCUUUUACCCGGGAAGAUAAUGACGGUACCGGGAGAAUAAGCCCCGGCUAACUCCGUG
rnacentral:rRNA from 1 species